AAACCUCCUCGCCGGAAGACCAAGGGUUCCUGUCCAACGUUAAUCGGGGCAGGGUGAGUCGACCCCUAAGGUGAGGCCGAAAGGCGUAAUCGAUGGGAAACGGGUUAAUAUUCCCGUACUUCUGACUAUUGCGAUGGGGGGACGGAGAAGGCUAGGUGGGCCAGGCGACGGUUGUCCUGGUUCAAGUGCGUAGGCUUGAGAGUUAGGUAAAUCCGGCUCUCUCUAAGGCUGAGACACGACGUCGAGCUACUACGGUAGUGAAGUCAUUGAUGCCAUGCUUCCAGGAAAAGCCUCUAAGCUUCAGAUAGUCAGGAAUCGUACCCCAAACCGACACAGGUGGUCGGGUAGAGAAUACCAAGGCGCUUGAGAGAACUCGGGUGAAGGAAC
rnacentral:rRNA from 1 species